rnacentral:rRNA from 1 species
ACUCAAAUGAAUUGACGGGGACCCGCACAAGCGGUGGAGCAUGUGGUUUAAUUCGAGGCUACGCGAAGAACCUUACCCAGGCUUGACAUGUUUAGGACAGUCGGUGAAAGCCGAUCUUCUCGCAAGAGACCUUUACACAGGUGCUGCAUGGCUGUCGUCAGCUCGUGCUGUGAAGUGUUGGGUUAAGUCCCGCAACGAGCGCAACCUUUGUCUUUAGUUGCCAUCAGGUAAUGCUGGGCACUCUAGAGAGACUGCCGGUGAUAAACUGGAGGAAGGAGGAGAUGACGUCAAGUCAGUAUGGCCCUUACGCCUGGGGCUACACACGUGCUACAAUGGCCAGCACAAAGGGCUGCAAUACCGUGAGGUGGAGCAAAUCCCAAAAAACUGGCCCCAGUUCAGAUCGAAGGCUGCAACUCGCCUUCGUGAAGUAGGAAUCGCUAGUAACGGUAGAUCAGCUACGCUACCGUGAAUACGUUCCCGGGUCUUGUACACACCGCCCGU